UACGAAGGGGGCUAGCGUUGGUCGGAAUUACUGGGCGUAAAGCGCGCGCAGGUGGUCUUUCAAGUCAGUGGUGAAAGCCCGGAGCUCAACUCCGGAAAUGCCAUUGAAACUGUAAGACUUGAGGAUGAGAGAGGUGAGUGGAAUUCCCAGUGUAGAGGUGAAAUUCAUAGAUAUUGGGAAGAACACCGGUGGCGAAGGCGGCUCACUGGCUCAUAUCUGACGCUCAGGCGCGACAGCGUGGGGAUCAAACAGG
rnacentral:rRNA from 1 species